UGGGGAAUAUUGCACAAUGGGCGCAAGCCUGAUGCAGCCAUGCCGCGUGUGUGAAGAAGGCCUUCGGGUUGUAAAGCACUUUCAGCGGGGAGGAAGGCGGUGAGGUUAAUAACCUCACCGAUUGACGUUACCCGCAGAAGAAGCGCCGGCUAACUACGUGCCAGCAGCCGCGGUAAUACGUAGGGCGCGAGCGUUGUCCGGAAUUAUUGGGCGUAAAGGGCUUGUAGGCGGCUUGUUGCGCCUGCUGUGAAAACGCGGGGCUUAACUUCGCGCGUGCAGUGGGUACGGGCAGGCUUGAGUGUGGUAGGGGUGACUGGAAUUCCAGGUGUAGCGGUGGAAUGCGCAGAUAUCUGGAGGAACACCGAUGGCGAAGGCAGGUCACUGGGCCAUUACUGACGCUGAGGAGCGAAAGCAUGGGUAGCGAACAGG
rnacentral:rRNA from 1 species